AUGGGCAUCUCUCGGGACAACUGGCACAAGCGCCUCAAGACUGGGGGUAAGAGAAAGCCCUACCACAAGAAGCGGAAGUAUGAGCUGGAACGCCCCGCUGCCAACACCAAGGUGGAUUGGCCCCUGCCGCAUCCACACUGUCCCAGUGUGGGGAGGUAACAAGAAGCUGGACAUGGGCAACUUUUUCUGGGGUUCUGAGUGUUGUACUGGCAAAACAAGGAUCAUCGAUGUUGUCUACAAUACAUCCAAUAACGAGUUAGUCCGUAUCAAGACCUAGUGAAGAGCUGCAUUGUGCUCAUUGACAGCACACCAUACUGACAGUGGUAUGAAUUCCCGCUAUGCGCUGACCCUGGGUUGCAAGAAGGGUGCCAACCUGACUCCUGAGGAGGAAGAGAUUUUAAACAAAAAAUGAUCCCCCAAAAAUCAGAAUAAAUAUGAUGAAAGGAAAAAGAAUGCCAAAAUCAGCAGUCUUCUGGAGGAGCAGUUCCAGCAGGGCAAACUUCUUGCUUGCAUUCCAUCAAGACCAGGCCAGUGUGGCCGAGCAGCUUGCUAUGUGCUAGAAGGCAAGGAGCUGGAGUUCUAUCUGAGGAAAAUCAAGGCCUGGAAAGGCAAAUAAAUCCUCUUCCUUAGCUCAUGUAAUAAAGUCGUUUGUCAUUC